CUACGGGGGGCUGCAGUUAGGAAUUUUCUGCAAUGCGCGUAAGCGUGACAGAGUGAGCCAGAGUGCUUUUCUAUUUGAAAAGCUUUUGUGAAAUGUAAAAAGUUUUACGAAUAAGGACUGGGUAAGACGAGUGCCAGCCGCCGCGGUAAUACUCGCGGUCCAAGUCGCAGCCACAUUUAUUGGGUCUAAAACAUCCGUAGCUUGCUUUGUAAGUUUCUUGUGAAAUCUGGCUUCUUAAAAGUCAGGCGUGCAAGAAGUACUGCUUAGCUAGAGACUGGAAGACGUAAGAAGUACGUUUGAAGUAGUAGUAAAAUAUUUUAAUCUCGGACGGACUAACAAUAGCGAAGGCAUCUUACGAGGACAGUUCUGACAGUGAGGGAUGAAGGCUAGGGGCGCAAAACGGAUUAGAUACCCCAGUAGUC
rnacentral:rRNA from 1 species